CCUACGGGUGGCUGCAGUGGGGAAUAUUGCACAAUGGGCGCAAGCCUGAUGCAGCCAUGCCGCGUGUGUGAAGAAGGCCUUCGGGUUGUAAAGCACUUUCAGCGGGGAGGAAGGCGUUAAGGUUAAUAACCUUGUCGAUUGACGUUACCCGCAGAAGAAGCACCGGCUAACUCCGUGCCAGCAGCCGCGGUAAUACGGAGGGUGCAAGCGUUAAUCGGAAUUACUGGGCGUAAAGCGCACGCAGGCGGUCUGUCAAGUCGGAUGUGAAAUCCCCGGGCUCAACCUGGGAACUGCAUUCGAAACUGGCAGGCUAGAGUCUUGUAGAAGGGGGUAGAAUUCCAGGUGUAGCGGUGAAAUGCGUAGAGAUCUGGAGGAAUACCGGUGGCGAAGGCGGCCCCCUGGACAAAGACUGACGCUCAGGUGCGAAAGCGUGGGGAGCAAACAGGAUUAGAUACCCUUGUAGUC
rnacentral:rRNA from 1 species